GGUCUCCAAGCUUCCCAAACCUCCAUCUGCCAGUCAUUGUCUUCAUCUUUGUUUCCCCACUAUGUGACACUUCUUCCAGCAGAGAGAGACAUUGGAAAGCAAGAGGCCGGUAACGGUGGUUUCAUGGCGCCAACGAAAGCAAGAGGCCGGUAACGGUGGUUUCAUGGCGCCAACGACCGUCAUUCUGAGCCGUCAGCCGGUUCCAUUUCAUAGGCUGGCAGGGAAGCCAGAGGUGGUGGUGGUUGUGCAUCCGAGGGGCGGUGAUUGGGUCCAAACGGCGUUACAGCUCGCACGCCGCGUCACCAGUACUCAACAUCGACGGCUUCAUCUUUGAUGAAUUUGGUGGCGGUAGUUGAAGAUGUGGAUAAGGUUUUACGGUGGCCUUGGUGGCGGCGAGCAGGUUUCGUGACGGUAUACGAGUGGAGAACCACGAGGGAUGUUAGAUCGGAGGUUUGCAUAGCUUCGCCAGUGACGGCGAUCAAGCGCCUAGGCCUAGGGUUCCGAUCAGGUGUACUUUCACACUUGGAUGUUGGCAAAGGGCUGUGACAAACUGCGGAAAAUAGUUUUGAAUCCCAGGUCACAGAAGAUGGAAGACGCAGGCAUAUCAGUCCUUAGACCAGAGGGAGCUGUAUCAGCAGUUGAGGUACUCGGUGUGUAAGCAAGUGGAUUCCAGCCUUUAGGGAGAACGAAACACACUAUGUGUUGGUCGACCUAGAGGUACGCCCAUAAACCUCACCUGUUUAUCCAUAGACAACAAUCAACAGCAUAAUCGUCACAUGGUUCCACAUUACCUAAAUAGGCCCGGAAUGUGUUUUGCGUUUUAUUUUACAUUCUCUGCACACUCCAUUUUAUACAUAUAUAUAUAAAAGUAAUUUCCUAAACUAUAUAUAUAGUAUGUAGCAGGUGGAUCAACAUCUCUCAUUUAUCAUAUACCAACACCCAUUAACCUUGGUAAUCUAUGCCUAUACUACAAACUUCUAGGUCCUUAUAAACUGUUGUUGAGUCAUUAUUCGUCACAGUUUUUCUUGAAUUGGCGAACAAACAAAAUGUGAGUCAUUAUUCAUCAAAGUUUUUUCUUAAAUUGAGAUUGUUCCGUUUACUCUACGUUGAUCCAGUAACCGGGUUCAACUUUUGGAAAGCAUAUUGCAACCGAUAUCUGGUUGAAAUCAGGCUGCUAUGUGAUAAUGUGCAUCUUUCUGGCUUCCAGGUACUGAAUUACAGCCACCAUCUCUGACAAAACCGGAGAGAAAGGGUGGAGCUACGGCUGUGCUCCGGCGACAACCCAUGGAAGUCGGCGUUUGACGACCUGAAAAGAGGGGGGAUCAGUUCUGGAAUAGCAAUCGGUUGCGGUGCCAUCUUGGGGGGUGGUAUUCGUUAGGGAAGGGUUCGGUUUGUCCCGCGCAAAGCGCGGGUGAAAACCACUAGUUAUAAUACAUUUCCUAUGGGCAUUAUAAAUUUAAGGAGUACAAUUAAAGUUGCUCAUGGUACAACACACAUUGCAUACGGUAACUACUU